rnacentral:tRNA from 1 species
GGGCUCGUAGCUCAGUUAGGCAGAGCGUCUGGCUUUUAAGUUUUUUGAACGGAGAUACCAGGUGGUCGAGGGUUCAAAUCCCUUCGAGCCCG